UACUUGCCGAUACAUGGAACUGCUCACGUUACUAUCGCAGCCACAGAGGGCGUUAUCAUUGUUUCACAAACAAUGAAUGAAGUCAUGUCCAUAUGGAGGAUGUAGCUUUACGAGCGUGAACAUGAAUCCCUUCUGUGUUUCUGACUGAGUGAGACUAGAAAUCGUGUCGGAAUGAAACAGCAGCAACAAACAGAUCAGCUGUAGCCGGACAGCGAUAAUACUAAGUUCCACCUGCUUUAAUAUCCAGCAACUGCUUUUUGCCCAAUGUGUGGUAUCGCAUGAUUCUCAGAGAAAACAGUGAUUGAAAUGAGUGAUAUUUCUAUAACAGUGACUUGAUAACUGUUACUAAUAACCACGUUUAUCGACAAUUACUGUAUCCUGAUCAGAUAUUGCUAGCGUCACUGUUUACAUUUCACUGGCUAGGAGAUGCACUUUCCAAUAACUGGUUAUUUGCAGCAACUGUUUGAAUUAGUGGAACUGAUAACUGCCAUGUCGCUGUUAGUGGAGAUCCCGAUCACUUUUCACUGAACAGUAGCUGAGGUCGGCCGCUGAAUUACCAGUAACCAGUUUCCUGCUGUUAUU